GUCGAACGGAGUUUAAAGAGCUUGCUUUUUAAACUUAGUGGCGGACGGGUGAGUAACACGUGAGUAACCUACCUUUCAAAGGGGGAUAACGUCUGGAAACGGACGCUAAUACCGCAUAAUACUAUUUGAGGGCAUCCUUGGAUAGUCAAAGGAGAAAUCCGAUGGGAGAUGGACUCGCGGCUGAUUAGAUAGUUGGCGGGGUAGAGGCCCACCAAGUCGACGAUCAGUAGCCGGACUGAGAGGUUGAACGGCCACAUUGGGACUGAGACACGGCCCAGACUCCUACGGGAGGCAGCAGUGGGGGAUAUUGCACAAUGGGGGAAACCCUGAUGCAGCGACGCCGCGUGAGGGAAGACGGUUUUCGGAUUGUAAACCUCUGUCUUUGGGGACGAAUUGAGACGGUACCCAAGGAGGAAGCUCCGGCUAACUACGUGCCAGCAGCCGCGGUAAUACGUAGGGAGCAAGCGUUGUCCGGAAUUACUGGGUGUAAAGGGAGCGUAGGCGGGAUAGUAAGUUGAUUGUUAAAACUAUCGGCUCAACUGGUAGAUGCGAUCAAAACUGCAAUUCUUGAGUGAAGUAGAGGCAGGCGGAAUUCCUAGUGUAGCAGUGAAAUGCGUAGAUAUUAGGAGGAACACCAGUGGCGAAGGCGGCCUGCUGGGCUUUAACUGACGCUGAGGCUCGAAAGUGUGGGUAGCAAACAGGAUUAGAUACCCUGGUAGUCCACACUGUAAACGAUGAUUACUAGGUGUGGGUGGACUGACCCCAUCCGUGCCGCAGUUAACACAAUAAGUAAUCCACCUGGGGAGUAC
rnacentral:rRNA from 1 species